rnacentral:snRNA from 1 species
AUACUUACCUGGCAGGAGAAAUACCAUGAUCACAGAGGUGGUUUUCCCAGGGCAAGGCUUAUCCAUUGCACUCCAGAUGUGCUGAUCCCUGCGAUUUCCCCAAAUGUGGGAAACUCGACUGCAUAAUUUGUGGUACUGCAUUCGCGCUCUC